GAUGAACGCUGGCGGCGUGCCUAAUACAUGCAAGUCGAGCGAAUGGAUUAAGAGCUUGCUCUUAUGAAGUUAGCGGCGGACGGGUGAGUAACACGUGGGUAACCUGCCCAUAAGACUGGGAUAACUCCGGGAAACCGGGGCUAAUACCGGAUAACAUUUUGAACCGCAUGGUUCGAAAUUGAAAGGCGGCUUCGGCUGUCACUUAUGGAUGGACCCGCGUCGCAUUAGGUAGUUGGUGAGGUAACGGCUCACCAAGGCAACGAUGCGGAGCCGACCUGAGAGGGUGAACGGCCACACUGGGACUGGAACACGGCCCAGACUCCUACGGGAGGCAGCAGUAGGGAAUCUUCCGCAAUGGACGAAAGUCUGACGGAGCAACGCCGCGUGAGUGAUGAAGGCUUUCGGGUCGUAAAACUCUGUUGUUAGGGAAGAACAAGGGCUAGUUGAAUAAGCUGGCACCUUGACGGUACCUAACCAGAAAGCCACGGCUAACUACGUGCCAGCCGCCGCUGUAA
rnacentral:rRNA from 1 species